AUACGUAGGGUGCAAGCGUUAAUCGGAAUUACUGGGCGUAAAGCGUGCGCAGGCGGUUUUGUAAGACAGUGGUGAAAUCCCCGGGCUCAACCUGGGAACUGCCAUUGUGACUGCAAGGCCGGAGUGCGGCAGAGGGGGAUGGAAUUCCGCGUGUAGCAGUGAAAUGCGUAGAUAUGCGGAGGAACACCGAUGGCGAAGGCAAUCCCCUGGGCCUGCACUGACGCUCAUGCACGAAAGCGUGGGGAGCAAACAGGAUUAGAUACCCUGGUAGUCCACGCCCUAAACGAUGUCAACUGGUUGUUGGGGAUUUAUUUUCUCAGUAACGAAGCUAACGCGUGAAGUUGACCGCCUGGGGAGUACGGCCGCAAGGUUAAAACUCAAAGGAAUUGACGGGG
rnacentral:rRNA from 1 species